rnacentral:rRNA from 1 species
GUUAUUAAAAACAUGUCCUUUUGAUUAUAAUUUAAGGUCUAACCUGCCCAAUGAUAAUUUUAAUGGCUGCAGUAUUUUAACUGUACUAAGGUAGCAUAAUCAAUAGUUUUUUAAUUGAAAGCUGGAAUGAAAGGUUGAAUGAAAAAAUUACUGUCUCUGUUUAAAUUUUUUAGAAUUUUAUUUUUAAGUUAAAAAGCUUAAAUGUUUAUAGAAGACGAGAAGACCCUAUAGAGUUUUAUAUAUAAUAGUUUUAAAAUAUUUUAGUAUUAAAUAUUUUAAUAUAAUUUUAUAUUUAAUUGGGGUGAUUUUAAAAUUUAAUGAACUUUUUUUAUAUAGAAUCAUUGAUUAAUGAAAAUGUGAUCCUUUUAUAAAGAUUAAUAGAAUAAAUUACCUUAGGGAUAACAGCGUAAUUUUUUUAUAGAGUUCAAAUCGAAAAAAAAGAUUGCGACCUCGAUGUUGGAUUAAAAUAAAUUAUUA